GUAUAAAUUCGCAAUCUUAUCACAUUGCACGUAUUGUGGUUUAAAUUUUAAAUAUACGUACAUCAGUUAUCAUAAAAGGUUAACGUUAAAAUUGUUUUUAUUUUUCAUUUCUCAGAGGUUUAUUAAGAUAUAAAUUGGAAUUGGUUGGAAUUGGUGUUUGUUUAUCAACGUAUUUACAAAAAAAAUUAUGCAACGUGAUCCAGUGAAACAUUUACAAGUACCUCAAA